UCUCAUUCAUCAUCGAUUCAUCACCGCUAUGCACAACAUCUCGUCUCAUUCCUCUUCAUUACCUUGCCGAUCAGUUGUCACCGCCACUGUUAGCCUCUCCUCACCACCGCUGUUAGCCUCUCUUCACUGUUGCCACUGCUGUCUUCUUCCCUCGCCGAUCGGCGCUGCCUACUCGUCGUCGUCGCGUUGAAAAUUGAUGAUAAGGGAAAUACAAAUGAUUGUUGCUUUGCUAGUGGAAACCCUCCUGCACCAAUUGCAGAAUCAACUACUGUUGCUAGUUCUAACACUACCACAAUGCCUGCCAAAAUUUUUGAUGUUCCUAGUCAUCAUAGAAGAUUACGUCAUCAAGAAACAAGUUUCUCAAAGAAGAAAAAGAUUGACAUAGUUGAGUGUGUUAUAGAGCCAACAACAGAUACGAGUGAAAAUCAAGUAGAAGUUGAAUGUGAAUCUAACAUUGACCAUGGGGAGACCAAACAAUAGCAACUGAAACAAGCUACACAGCUGCCCAAAGCAA